rnacentral:rRNA from 1 species
AGUGAACGCUGGCGGUAGGCCUAACACAUGCAAGUCGAACGGCAGCACAGUAAGAGCUUGCUCUUACGGGUGGCGAGUGGCGGACGGGUGAGGAAUACAUCGGAAUCUACUUUUUCGUGGGGGAUAACGUAGGGAAACUUACGCUAAUACCGCAUACGACCUACGGGUGAAAGCAGGGGAUCUUCGGACCUUGCGCGAUUGAAUGAGCUGAUGUCGGAUUAGCUAGUUGGCGGGGUAAAGGCCCACCAAGGCGACGAUCCGUAGCUGGUCUGAGAGGAUGAUCAGCCACACUGGAACUGAGACACGGUCCAGACUCCUACGGGAGGCAGCAGUGGGGAAUAUUGGACAAUGGGCGCAAUCCUGAUCCAGCCAUACCGCGUGGGUGAAGAAGGCCUUCGGGUUGUAAAGCCCUUUUGUUGGGGAAGAAAAGCAGCAGGUUAAUACCCCGCUGUUCUGACGGUACCCAAAGAAUAAGCACCGGCUAACUUCGUG